GUUUAUACCAUGUCUAAUGCAUUGCAUGCUGUUUCUUGUUCAGGUAGGUGAGGACUGAAGACUGUCAGGGUCUGAGUACCACAAUGGCUAAUCAGAUGUGAAGAUAAAUCAUGCUUGAACAUCUUUCACUAUGCAAAGCAGCACUUGGUUUGUAUGGGGACAAAGGAGAAAUCAAAGCCUUCUUAUAUCCACCAGUGUGUUAAUCAGACUGGUAACAGCUGGGAGACUCUCCAGUGUAAGGCUCUCUGAGGAGGAGCAAAACAGCCAUCAACAUUCCAUGAUUCUGAAGGGUUACUCUUAGUGCAUAACUACAUUUGAUCAUCGGGCUUCAAACGGAAGGUACUACCAGCAGAUGUAAGCUGCUGGGUAAGGAAGCAGGAGGAAAAGGAUGCCGAAGUGAUAAUGAGGUAUUUCACUUGUAGUAGGAAAUCAAAGUUAACCUAUGGUAAGUGAAAUCCGAUCAUUUCUGAUUCAUGCUGACCCAGCACAUUGAUGCAAGCGGCCCUUUGCUCCGAGUUCUCCUACAAAACUGCAGCAGUGGCUGAAGUGGGAACGAAAGUCAGGUUCCCUGCCCUGCAGCAUGAAAGCUCCAGCCAGGAGCACAGCUCCCAGCACCCGCCUUAGAGCCCUUAAGCAAAAGGUCUCCUCCUCAGGUAAAGCUGUGUAAUGCUGAAGCGAUUUAAGUCACUUUAGGCUUUAAAAACAGCCCCGAGAUGUUAAAGGAGUAUUUCAAGCGCACAGUUCUAAGUCAACCUAAAACCUCAAGCACACAUCAAACAGAGAACACGUUUUGUCUGAAGUCUGUAGCUGGAAAUGAAAAUGCGAUGGGGUCUGUUUCUGCACAGCUGAGCUUCCAUAGGAGAUGAGCUUUUCUCAGUGUACAGCAAACUCUCC
rnacentral:lncRNA from 14 species